rnacentral:rRNA from 1 species
UACGAAGGGUGCUAGCGUUGUUCGGAAUCACUGGGCGUAAAGCGCGCGUAGGCGGAUCGCUAAGUCAGGGGUGAAAUCCCAGGGCUCAACCCUGGAACUGCCUUUGAUACUGACGGUCUGGAGAUCGGGAGAGGUUGGUGGAAUUCCGAGUGUAGAGGUGAAAUUCGUAGAUAUCGAGAGGAACACCGGUGGCGAAGGCGGCUUCCUGGACAAUGACUGACGCUGAGGCGCGAAAGCGUGGGGAGCAAACCGG